GCGGAAGUAGUUCAAUGGCAGAAUAUUAGCUUCCCAAGCUAAAUACGCGGGUUCGAUUCCCGUCUUCCGCUCCA
rnacentral:tRNA from 1 species